rnacentral:rRNA from 1 species
UACAAAGACUGCAAGCGUUAUUCGGAUUCACUGGGCGUAAAGGGUGCGCAGGCGGCCGUGUGUGUUGGGCGUGAAAGCCCGGGGCUUAACCCCGGAAUUGCGCCCAAAACUACAUGGCUAGAGCAUUGGAGAGGGUAGCAGAAUUCAUGGUGUAGCAGUGAAAUGCGUAGAUAUCAUGAGGAAUACCAGAGGCGAAGGCGGCUACCUGGACAAUUGCUGACGCUCAGGCACGAAAGCGUGGGGAGCAAAAGGG